AUUGAACGCUGGCGGCAUGCCUUACACAUGCAAGUCGAACGGUAACAGGUCUUCGGAUGCUGACGAGUGGCGAACGGGUGAGUAAUACAUCGGAACGUGCCUAGUAGUGGGGGAUAACUACUCGAAAGAGUGGCUAAUACCGCAUGAGAUCUACGGAUGAAAGCAGGGGAUCGCAAGACCUUGUGCUACUAGAGCGGCCGAUGGCAGAUCAGGUAGUUGGUGGGAUAAAAGCUUACCAAGCCGACGAUCUGUAGCUGGUCUGAGAGGACGAUCAGCCACACUGGGAACGAGACACGGCCCAGACUCCUACGGGAGGCAGCAGUGGGGAAUUUUGGACAAUGGGCGCAAGCCUGAUCCAGCAAUGCCGCGUGCAGGAUGAAGGCCUUCGGGUUGUAAACUGCUUUUGUACGGAACGAAAAGCCCCGGGUUAAUACCCUGGGGUCAUGACGGUACCGUAAGAAUAAGCACCGGCUAACUACGUGCCAGCCGCCGCAGUAA
rnacentral:rRNA from 1 species